rnacentral:rRNA from 1 species
CCUACGGGCGGCAGCAGUGAGGAAUAUUGGUCAAUGGACGAGAGUCUGAACCAGCCAAGUAGCGUGAAGGAUGACUGCCCUAUGGGUUGUAAACUUCUUUUAUAAAGGAAUAAAGCGCGGCACGUGUGCCUUUUUGUAUGUACCAUAUGAAUAAGGAUCGGCUAACUCCGUGCCAGCAGCCGCGGUAAUACGGAGGAUCCGAGCGUUAUCCGGAUUUAUUGGGUUUAAAGGGAGCGUAGGUGGAUUGUUAAGUCAGUUGUGAAAGUUUGCGGCUCAACCGUAAAAUUGCAGUUGAAACUGGCAGUCUUGAGUACAGGAGAGGUGGGCGGAAUGCGUGGUGUAGCGGUGAAAUGCUUAGAUAUCACGAAGAACUCCGAUUGCGAAGGCAGCUCACUGGACUGCAACUGACACUGAGGCUCGAAAGUGUGGGUAUCAAACAGGAUUAGAUACCCGAGUAGUC